UACGGGGGGUGCAAGCGUUACUCGGAAUCACUGGGCGUAAAGAGCAUGUAGGCGGAUUAAUAAGUUUGAAGUGAAAUCCUAUAGCUUAACUAUAGAACUGCUUUGAAAACUGUUGAUCUAGAAUGUGGGAGAGGUAGAUGGAAUUUCUGGUGUAGGGGUAAAAUCCGUAGAGAUCAGAAGGAAUACCGAUUGCGAAGGCGAUUUACUGGAACACAAUUGACGCUGAGAUGCGAAAGCGUGGGGAGCAAACAGG
rnacentral:rRNA from 1 species